rnacentral:hammerhead_ribozyme from 1 species
UGCCGAAACGCCCUUUGGGGCGUCCGCGGGGCAUGGCCUACCCGCGCUGAGGAGGCAGGCUGUA